rnacentral:tmRNA from 1 species
GUAAAGGUCUCGACGGGGUUUUUGAAACCGGAGAAGCAAGCCGUUGCAACACGUUAAUUGCAAACCUAAAAUUAAACGCUAACGAAAAUUUAGCUCUCGCUGCCUAAUCUGGCAGCUGUUCUUACCGGUGCACUCACACAUCGGCUAAGAGCAUCGACUAUGUGAGAAACGACGUAUGCAAAGCUUUGAGCUUACGGGCGUAUCAUGAAGCUACCAAGUCACGGAGACUGUCUGUUGUCGCCGCGAUGAGGAAAUGAAAAAUGACAGACUAAGCUUGUAGAAGUACGGGGGAUGGGGCUUCGGACACGGGUUCGACUCCCGUCUGGUCCA